GAUGAACGCUGGCGGCGUGCCUAAUACAUGCAAGUCGAGCGAACAGACGAGGAGCUUGCUCCUCUGACGUUAGCGGCGGACGGGUGAGUAACACGUGGAUAACCUACCUAUAAGACUGGGAUAACUUCGGGAAACCGGAGCUAAUACCGGAUAAUAUAUUGAACCGCAUGGUUCAAUAGUGAAAGACGGUUUUGCUGUCACUUAUAGAUGGAUCCGCGCCGCAUUAGCUAGUUGGUAAGGUAAUGGCUUACCAAGGCAAUGAUGCGUAGCCGACCUGAGAGGGUGAUCGGCCACACUGGAGCUGGGACGCGGUCCAGGCUCCUACGGGAGGCAGCAGUAGGGAAUCUUCCGCAAUGGGCGAAAGCCUGACGGAGCAACGCCGCGUGAGUGAUGAAGGUCUUCGGAUCGUAAAACUCUGUUAUUAGGGAAGAACAAAUGUGUAAGUAACUAUGCACGCCUUGACGGUACCUAAUCAGAAAGCCACGGCUAACUACGUG
rnacentral:rRNA from 1 species